UAAGCGGAGGAAAAGAAACUAACAAGGAUUCCCCUAGUAACGGCGAGUGAAGUGGGAAAAGCUCAACUUUGUAAUCUGGCUGUCUUUGGCAGUCCGAGUUGUAGUCUAGAGAAGUGUUAUCCGCGCAGCCCCUUAUAGAUUUCGGUUGGAAUGCCAAGUCAAAGAGGGUGAGAAUCCCGUAUUUGAUAAGGUGGGCUUGUGCAUUGUGAUACAUUUUCAAAGAGUCGAGUUGUUUGGGAAUGCAGCUCAAAGUGGGUGGUAAAUUCCAUCUAAAGCUAAAUAUUGGCGAGAGACCGAUAGCGAACAAGUACCGUGAGGGAAAGAUGAAAAGCACUUUGGAAAGAGAAUGAAAUAGUACAUGAAAUUGCUGAAAGGGAAACGAUUGAAGUUAGACUUGCGCGGUUGGUAUUCAGCCUUGGCUUCGGUCUUGGUGCAUUUGCCUUCCAUUGCAGGCCAGCAUCAGUUUACUUUGCUGUAAAAGGGUUUGAGGAAUGUGGCUUCUUCGGGAGUGUUAUAGCCUCUUUCUGGAUGCAGAAUCGUAGACUGAGGAACGCAGCGCGCCUUUAUGGCAAAGCUUUNNAGCUUCGAGCGCUUAGGAUGCUGGUAGAAUAGCUUUAAACGACCCGUCUUGAAACACG
rnacentral:rRNA from 1 species